CUUACUGACCUCAUAGGCCUUCACCAACAAGGUUAGAGAUUCCUGUGCCAACAUCAUACUGUUCUAGAAUUACUGGAUCUCUUAUGAGACAGAGUCUUGUUCUGUCGCGCAUGCUGGCGUACAGUGCCACAAUCACAGCUCACCGCAGCUUCCAACUUCUGAACUCACGUGAUCCUUCUGCCUCAGACUUCCAAGUACCUGGGACUGCAGGCACGAAUCACCACAGCCAGCUUGGAGUGACUUUCUAAGGAUAAUUAUUUUAUUGAGUAUUAUUCCAGUCUCCUAAUGCCGAACAUUUUCAGUAAAUAAUCUUCUUUCUCAUCCCUCCAG